rnacentral:rRNA from 1 species
GACGAACGCUGGCGGCGUGCUUAACACAUGCAAGUCGAGCGGUAAGGCCCUUUCGGGGGUACACGAGCGGCGAACGGGUGAGUAACACGUGGGUGACCUGCCCUUAGCACUGGGAUAAGCCUGGGAAACUGGGUCUAAUACCGGAUAUGACUCCAUGACGCAUGUUGUGGGGUGGAAAGCCUUGUGCGGCUAGGGAUGGGCCUGCGGCCUAUCAGCUUGUUGGUGGGGUGAUGGCCUACCAAGGCGACGACGGGUAGCCGGCCUGAGAGGGCGACCGGCCACACUGGGACUGAGACACGGCCCAGACUCCUACGGGAGGCAGCAGUGGGGAAUCUUGCGCAAUGGGCGAAAGCCUGACGCAGCGACGCCGCGUGGGGAUGACGGCCU